UAUACUCUGCACCUCUCCAUAAGUGGGCUCUGCUGUUCCUCAGGGUCACAUCUACUAUUCUUCACUGUGACUAUUCAUAUUUGCUGUGUCUGCAGGGGAUCAUCGAAGUAGGCAGUUCAGGACUGAAGACCUUUCCACUCCUGCUUUAUUCUUAUUUUAUUGAUUGUAUAUUGCCAGCCAAUUGGAUAUCUGCUCCUCAAACCAGAUUGUAAAUGCUUUGGGCAGGCAGUAAGGACAGGACCCCAAUGUGUGCUGCAUUUCCUGAUGCUGAAGUUAGGGGGAAGUUAUGCUGAAGUGCAUAAAACAAACAAACAAAAAAAGUGUUUUUUUAAAUUAUCCCUAAUAUGUAAUUUUAGCAUUUAGAUAGCAAUGUAUUUAUUGCUGAAUGCGGAAUUAAAUAUACACAGGUUGAUUUUUGUAAUAGGCAAGAAAAACUAAGAUAAUUGGAAAUACUGUAGAACCUUCAUCGUUGUUCUUUCACAAACUGUUUCCUGGACCACACAUGGAGAAGCUAUCAGUUCCCAGCUCAGAACAUGAUGAUUUUAUCAGCUGCGCUGAAGCUGUACAUGGAAAGAUAGGGAUCUGGAGUCUGCAAGAGACAUCUGUUGCAAGAUAGACAAACAUCUGGGGAAAGAGGCACAGGAAGAGAGACAUCUUCAAAAAGGGACACAAAUGGACAAAUUGUUUGAAGGAAAUUACACUUGCAAAUGUAUGCUUGUAUGAUAUUCUUUUUAUGUGCCCUCUGGGUAUUCAGCAUUUCACACAAUUAAAACCUGCAGCACAGCUAAAGGGAAUAUAUAAACAUGGACUGUACAUUAAAAAUGACUUGAGAAUUGUUUGGUACCCCUAGAAGCAUAAAUAAUUGUGCUUAAACUCCAUAACACCGGGAUGCUGUCAUGAAAAUACAAAUGAUUACUUUGCUUAAAAACAAUAUGUAAGAUUGUAUUAAAUAGUGUAAUUCUGGGACAA